CGCUACAGCCAUACCACCCUGAGUGCACCCGAUCUCAUCUGAUCUCAGAAGCUAGGCAGGGUAGGCAUGGUUAGUACUUGGAUGGGAGACCACCUGGGAAUACUGGGUGCUGUAGGCU
ensembl:rRNA 5S_rRNA 5S ribosomal RNA